CGGGGUGUAGCGCAGCUGGCUAGCGCACCUGCUUUGGGAGCAGGGGGUCGCCGGUUCGAAUCCGGCCACCCCGACCA
rnacentral:tRNA from 1 species